rnacentral:misc_RNA from 1 species
CCCCUACUAGCUCCUUUGCCAGAUUGGAUUUUAACAAUCCUAUCAGUCUCAAACCUUGCAGCAGCACUGCAGCACUACAUAGAAGCAUUGUUUAAGAUUGCAUUUCCAUUUUUACCUAAACCCAAGAAGAAAUAUAAGAAAGACUAUCUUUUCUUGAGAAAGAAUAUAAUUAGCGGGGCAUGCAUGCAUGCCUGCCUGCAUGAGAGCCAAAGUU